rnacentral:tRNA from 1 species
GGAAGCGUGGCAGAGCGGCCGAUUGCACCCGCCUUGAAAGCGGACGUCCAGAGAUGGACCGGGGGUUCGAAUCCCCCCGCUUCCGCCA